UAGUGUGUUAUCCCAAACACCUGCAGAGCAUGGGUUUAGCUUCAGCUUGCUCUGGGUGCAAGCACUUUUAUUGUGUGCUGCUCCAGGUUCCCUCAGAGCAGCUCCCUCCAGCUCCUUGGGCUACCCUGAGCUUCAGGAAGCAAUGCUCUAAAGUGGGAUUGCAGGAGUUCGCAAAAUUCCGCAAGUGCUUCCUGGGCAGGGUGUGCACAAGCUCCCCCCAGGAGAAAAUGCAGGUCUGGGAAUAAGCAGAGGAGUCGUAGGAAUGGCUCUACUGAAGGUGCUUGGGCCAGAGAACGCAGCUUGCAAGGCAACCUGAUGAUGAAAUCAAUAAUUUACCUCAUGGUACGGCUGAGAUGGGUUGAGUCUUCCCAAGUCAACUUAGAGGUUACAUCUGGUCUUAAAGGCACAGCGGUUCCCGUGGCCUCUCUGCCCAGAAGUUGCAGUGGAAGAUGAUUUUUUGGAGAAGGGGGUGGGAAUUCUUCCUACAAAACAACAUCUCUCAGGCUCCUCUGUCUUAUUUUAAGAUGCAGAAUUCAUCCCAGAAAUACCACCGGACAGCCUGUGUGCCUGGUACAAUCGCUGUCACUGAAACUAACAUGAAUUGAGAUUAAUUUUUAUCACUUCAGAGG